AUUGAACGCUGGCGGAAUACCUUACACAUGCAAGUCGAACGGCAGCGCGGGAGUAAUCCUGGCGGCGAGUGGCGAACGGGUGAGUAAUAUAUCGGAACGUGCCCAGUAGUGGGGGAUAGCCCGGCGAAAGCCGGAUUAAUACCGCAUACGACCUACGGGUGAAAGGGGGGGAUCGAAAGACCUCUCGCUAUUGGAACGGCCGAUAACAGGUUAGGUAGUUGGUGGGGUAAAGGCCCCCCAAGCCUGCGAUCUUGAGGUGGUCUGAGAGGAAGACCAGGCACACUGGGACUGGGACACGGCCCAGACUCCUACGGGAGGCAGCAGUGGGGAAUUUUGGACAAUGGGGGCAACCCUGAUCCAGCAAUGCCGCGUGCAGGAAGAAGGCCUUCGGGUUGUGAACUGCUUUUGUCAGGGAAGAAAUCCCUUGGGAUAAUACCUCGGGGGGAUGACGGUACCUGAAGAAUAAGCACCGGCUAACUACGUGCCAGCCGCCGCGGUAA
rnacentral:rRNA from 1 species